rnacentral:tRNA from 1 species
ACCUGUCUAGCUUAGUCGGUAGAGCGCAAGGCUCUUAACCUUAUGGUUGUGAGUUCAAGCCCCACUAUUGGCG